GAAAACUGGGAAGUCUGCCACAACAGAUCACACACACAGCAGGUCGGUGCAGUCAGGUUUCCUCGUGUGGUUUUUGGUGCGACAGAGUAAAAACAUGCCAUGUGCCUCACUCACCACCACCCUGAAGUCUUCCAGGUUCUUGAAUUUGGCGAGGUGUUCCUGCAGCUUGGGGUCGAUGGGCGGGUUCUUCAUCUUGGAGUAUUUCAGGAAGGCCCAGAACUUCUCCAGGCCGUACAGCUGACCUGUGGGAGGAGGACAGAGAGCAACGCCGCGUGGUUACGGUCAUGUACAGUCGGGCUGCGGCAAGUCUUUACGCCGUAGGCUUCACUUCACGGUUCUUGAUUGUGACUUUCAGCGAGGAAAAAAGAAAGAACUUACCUGCAUCGGUUCAGUUUUUUCGAGCCAAACUGCGGCUUAAAAACUGACGUACAAACCAAACCGUAAAAAAAGGUGAGCUGUUACUCCCCUGAUGUACAGACUGGCGGAUUAAAGAGAUUAAAGAUGCUCACUAAGGUGAUUACUGUUAACGAAAACUAAUGAAAUGA